CAAAGCAGCCAACAAAGCCACAGCCACCUCGGCUGUGCUGGGCUCUGCCUUUUGGGCAGCUCACCGGCCACUCCCCAGAAGCAGAGCAUUCUUUCCUUUCUCUUUUUAAAUCCACGUCAUCAUCUGAUCAUAAUGGAAAUCAAUCUCAAGUCACCACGCAAAGGCGUAUCCAUGGCAACAUCAAGAGGAAGGACACAGAAAUGAUGCUCCAGUGGCUGCAGCAGGAAAAGGAAACCUGUAGCUUGGAAUGGGUUCAGGGGUGCCUUGGACGCUCCCAGGAAAGGAGUGGAACACUUGCAGUUCUGGAGGAAUUCGGAGAGGCAAUCACUCGACCCCGGGAGAACACCACACCGCAGGCUGAAGAGCUCAGCACUCUUCAUUUCAGAAAGAAGGUCACAGCUGAUAACUUCAGGGACACCAGACCCGGUUGCUGAUGACGCCAGCUUUGGCCAUGAAUUUGCAGAAGAAAAGAAAUGCAAGACCUUAAUUACUUUGAGCCUUAUCACCUACCCCAGACCACGAGCCCCAACCUAUAAAAACCUUUCCCUAUGGGGGGGUGGGGGGGCACAGUUCUUGAGACUCUAGCCUGCUGUGUUCCCCCUUUUGCCUAGCAAAGAAUAAAGCUACUUUUUCUCCUUCCUCCAAAACUCCGUCUCCGUAUUUCUUUUCGGCAUUGUUGCACAGAAAGCCAAGAUUUUGGCAUCACGGCCAGGCAACCCAGCUUCGCGAAGAUUCGUGGCAUGCUGUGGCCCGCAGGCACCCAGCACGCGCCCGCCCCGCUGCCAAGAUGCCCAAGAGGAAGGUCAGCUCUGCCGAGGGGGCAGAGAAGGAGGAGCCCAAGCUUCUGCAAAAGUGGAAACGAAGCCAAAAAGGUGGAAGGAAAGGAUAAAUCUUCAGGCAAAAAAGUGCAAACAAAGGGGAAAAGGGAGCAAGGGGAAAACAGGCUGAAGUGGCUCACCAAGAGACUAAAGAAGACUUACCUGCAGAAAACGGAGAAAAUAAAAAUGAGGAGAGGCCAGCCUCUGAUGAAGCAGGAAAGAAAGAAGCCAAGUCUGAUUAAUAUCAAACACCCGGUCCUAUCAGUGGUCCCUGUCUCCCUUCUUGUACAAUCCAGAGGAAUAUUUUUAUCAACUAUUGUGUAAAUGCAAGUUUUUUAGUAGCUCUAAAAACAUUUUUAAAAAGGAGGGAAUCCCACUUCAUCUCAUUUUUUAAGUGUGUGACAGGGAAGAGCUAAAUCGGACUCCACAUUGGAUCUGUUUCUUUGACUUUAACCUUUGAUUUUCAUUGCUUUUGUUAUUAUAAUGAUACAUAAUGGCCUGCCUCAGAAAACCCUGCCCACCUGUGAAUGGCUGCAAGAAAAAAGAAACUAACACAUCCCCUCACUGAGGCUGGUCAUUCCAGGAGAUGUUUUGCAAGACUGAUGGCCCUUUUACUUUCCUUCCUCACCGCCUCUCCCUCUCUGAUUCUAUAAAAGAAACUGGCAUCCAGACCCAGAUAAGAUGGUUUAUCGGAGACACUAGUCUGCCAUCUUCUCGGUCUGCCGGCUGUCCGAAUAAAGUCGUAUUCCUUACCUCAACACCUCGUCUCUGAUUCUUUGGCCUGUCGUGCGGCGAGCAGAGCGAGCUUGGACUUGGCAACAAAUUUAGUGAGCCAACGAGGAGCCUUGCUCUUGUCUAACCAACCCUGGUCAGGGAAUAUUGAGGCAAGGCCCUAGCAGCUGCCAGGACCAUUUGUCCUGAGGAUCUUCCCUUCAAAAUUCCCUGAAGCGGCACUGGCUAUCCCAGCACUUGGCAGUUGAAGCAAGGAACCAACAAACUUCAAUUUGGUGCUACGAGUCAAUGGACUCGAUUCG